rnacentral:lncRNA from 1 species
UCUUCUCAAAUUUGUGAGAUUAGGGUUUGUAACUUUUGAAUUGAUUUUUUUUAUGUGAAAUAGAAUGUUUUGUGAUGGAAUUAAACCUUCCAUUACACUGAUUCUUUGCUCGUAUGUUUCUUUAUCAAUUCAAUCUGUUCUGUGUUGUGUUGUUUGGAGAUAUUCCAAUCUUAUCUUAUUUGCGGGAUUAGGGUUUCAAACCUUUGAAUUGGGGAUUUCAAUUUUGUGUGUGACAAUCUGAUUUUCUUUUUAUUUGCAAGGGUUUUUGUUGAUUGGCUAACAUCUAUGAAGCCCCGAUACCGAUACGAUACGGCCUCGAUAAAUUUAAAAUUAAUAGUAUAAGUGCACAAUGUAUAAACAUAACUAAAAAUGAUAAUAAACAAUGAAAAUGAUCAAAACAAGUGACAAUUACAUAUUUUUUCCGCACAAAUUAGAUAGAAUAUAGCUAAACAUCAUUAGUACCAUCCAAAGAGAACAACAUAAGUACUAUAAAAACAGCAGAAGAAACAUAACAUUAGAGAGAAGAGAAACAGAGUAGAAUUCAAUCAGUGAUAAUGGUUAGAAGAGAGAAUAGCUAUUGCUAUGUGGUGACGAGAAACCCUAUUUUUUUUUUUGUUAGAAGAGACAAUAUGAUUUUGGUAGCGCUUCCAGACUUGAUAGGUGUCCGAGUAUAAGUAAGCUGUGUCGGAGUACAAGUUAGUCGUAUCCGACACGUAUCGGACAUUUUUUUUCCUUCAAAAAAUAAAUAUUAACUGCCCGAUGCUUUUCUGAUACGCGUAUCGGGACGUAUUCGACACGUAUUGGUCAUUGUUUUUCAAAAAAAUAAAUAUUAAUUGUCCGAUACUUUUCCGAUACGCGUAUCGAGGCGUAUCGGUAUCAGAUACAUGUCGGAUACGAUACUUCACCAUUUUUGGAGUAUCGGGGCUUCAGAGGCUAACAUAAAUUAUUCUAUUUGUAACUUAUGGUUUCUUUUUAUUAUUUGUAAGAGAAACUUAUAUGCUACAUAUGUUCCUCAUUUUAUCGUUAUUAUUUUUAUAUUUGUGUUUGCCACUUUUAAUUAAUUAGUUGUUCUCUGUUGGAAUUUAUUCAAAGGAACAUUACCAGCACCCUAGACUCUCCCCAAUGGGCCCUUCACGAUUGCCGCUGCCACCGCAAAUGGGUAAUUCAACCUAAUCCUAUUUUCAUACAAGUAUUAUUUUGCUGUUUGAUUUGAUGAAUCUCAAAUAAUAACUUCACCCUUUGGAUUCUUAUUAUUUCAUCAAUACAAUAGAAAGAAAACUUCUUCAUGAGAAGAAGCGGAAGGAGCAAGAAGUAGAAAGCACAAAGGAGGAUCUUCUCCAUGGGAAGAAGCCAAAGGAGCAAAAAGUAGAAAGUACCGAGGGAGAUCUGCUUUAUGAUGGUGAGAAGCCAAAAGAAUUCGAAUGCCCGGUUUACGCAGAGACAUUGAAAGGUAACUCUCUCUCUCUCUCUGCUUGCAUUUGGUCAAAUAACCUCAGCUUAUGGUUGUUUAUUCUCUUGUUUCAUAUGGAAUAAUAAACAGUCUAUAACAAGCUGAAAGAUAUAGAUACAAUAGACCUCAAGUGGUGUCCAAUUAUACCCGAUAAGGCAAGUUUUUCUCUUAAACUUUCAUAAAUUUAGUUUCUAUGUGCAUAUUUUAAUUCUUUAGGAUUCUCUCUAACAGCAUGCAUACUUGAAGCAUGAGAAAAAGUUUGCUGAACUCUUCAAGAAGCAUGAAGAGAAAAAGAAGCGGUGGAUGCUGAUUGAAGAAGAAAAAGAGCGUCUUGGGAAAGGGAAAAGAGGAGCUGUUACUGAUAAGUUGAAACCAUGUUAUGCUAUGCUCUUGGCCUGAGAAUAGAGGAGCAGUUACUGAUAGGUUGAAACCAUGUUAUGCUAUGCUCUUGGCCUGAGAAUUGUGUCAGUCUUUUGUGCAAGAAUGUAGAAGAAUUAUUAUAAUUCUAAUUGUGUUAUGUUUCUUUGUUUUGUAUUCUGUGUUGGAUUUCAGUUCUGCUAAUCUUUGUGGCACGUACUGCUUCAUUGCCUGAUGUUGCAUAAUACAGAAUAGUGUUGGCAUGUUGAGAUGAUCAAAUUAAUAUUAACAAUAAAAGAAAAAUGACAAGACUGUUUAGUUGGAUUACAAUUGCACAAAACAUGACCUCGUCGCCUCAUUUUUUUUAUUUUUUUUUUGGCUAAGAAUGAAUUAAGCCAAAUUAUGAAAUUAAUAAAGAAAGAAGAGUUCUUUCUACAAACAAGUUUGUCAAUAGGUACAUUCCGUCCUCUGCAAAACCAUGCAAUUAUGCAGAUUCAUCUUUUUUUUACACAAGACAAGGAAAGAAAUUUCUGAACAAAAUAAAAUGAGAAAUUCAUAAAGCAAGGCCAUUUCUUCUGAACUUGAAAAGUUGAUCUAUUAUGAAGAUUGGGGAGAACACAAGAAACGAGACAAAUGUAAGAACCUGUUCAAUUCGGUAACACGGAGCAAGAUGGCUACAAAUAAUAUUUAGGAACUAAAAAAUGUGAUUUAUUUUCAUUGGAACUAAAAACAAAACUGCAGAUAUUUAUAGGGACCAAAAACUUAAUUAACCCUUUUAAAAACCGUUUUUUGGAUCCUCCAUUUAUUUUAUUUUCUUCAUAAAUUUGGGUCUUUUUUGAUGAUGUGACAUUUUUUAAGAGGAAAUAAACGCUUAUAGCAUCUUAUUUUUUUAUGAUGUUAACUCGCUUAAAGUAGUCGGCAAUUUUUUCCGAGUUAAAAUAUAAUAAAUAUUGUUUUAAAAAAAAUUAAACUAACUCAUUCAAAUUAAUACUGGAAAAAAUCGAACCUCAUACUUUAAGAAGGGUCACGCUUUAAAGUUCACGACCAACUUAUUGUUAAGUUGGGACAAAAGAAUAUUAUACUUUUAAAAUGGAGACCGAAACUUUUUUUUUUUAAUAGAAAAGACACCGAAACUUGUUUUUAAUAGAAAAGACAAAAUGCAUUUAAUAUUAUUUUCAAAAUAUUAAAUCUUUCUUUUCUUUUUAUACAUUUGUUAACAAUUCACAUUGUCAAUGAAGUAUUAUCCAGAAAACCUUCAUUAUAAAUAUAAGAGUAAAUUACACCCUCUUCCCAUUAAAGAUAUUUGAAUUACAUUUCCCUCCCCUUUUAUAUUAAAAUAUACACUCCCCUCCCUUAAAAAGAAAAAUUUAUACUUGUGAAAUGGUUUAGUUAAUUUUGAUAUGGUUCGAUUCGGUUACUGGUUAAUUUUGCCCACCCCUACACUUGGGUUAAUUCAUGCUUGAUUUAAGUUACGUAGAGAUUAACACUAGAAUUAAAUCACGUUGCGUGAUUUAACACACCUAAAAUAUACACUAGUGUGAUUUAAAUCACAUAAGGACAUUUUAAAUAUUUACUUUGGCAAUGAGCAAAACUGUAAAGAGCAAAAUUCUACACUUAAAUCCCGAAUUGGGCCGAGUAACCAACCCAUUUUGCUAUAUAUAUAUAUAUAUAUAUAUAUAUAUAUAUAUAUAUAUAUAUAUAUAUAUAUAUAGACUUGUCUAUUUCGUUCAAUAGUUUGCCGAUAUCCACUCGCUGAUCGCGUUUGUUUUCAGAGUUCGUUCAUUCGUUUUCUACCUUCUUCAUUGGAUUUGUAUACCUCCCUCAUCUCCAUCAUGUUUGAGGUAUUUUCAUUCCUUUUCAAUUCUGUUUGAUUCGACUCUUCUCAAAUUUGUGAGAUUAGGGUUUGUAACUUUUGAAUUGAUUUUUUUUAUGUGAAAUAGAAUGUUUUGUGAUGGAAUUAAACCUUCCAUUACACUGAUUCUUUGCUCGUAUGUUUCUUUAUCAAUUCAAUCUGUUCUGUGUUGUGUUGUUUGGAGAUAUUCCAAUCUUAUCUUAUUUGCGGGAUUAGGGUUUCAAACCUUUGAAUUGGGGAUUUCAAUUUUGUGUGUGACAAUCUGAUUUUCUUUUUAUUUGCAAGGGUUUUUGUUGAUUGGCUAACAUCUAUGAAGCCCCGAUACCGAUACGAUACGGCCUCGAUAAAUUUAAAAUUAAUAGUAUAAGUGCACAAUGUAUAAACAUAACUAAAAAUGAUAAUAAACAAUGAAAAUGAUCAAAACAAGUGACAAUUACAUAUUUUUUCCGCACAAAUUAGAUAGAAUAUAGCUAAACAUCAUUAGUACCAUCCAAAGAGAACAACAUAAGUACUAUAAAAACAGCAGAAGAAACAUAACAUUAGAGAGAAGAGAAACAGAGUAGAAUUCAAUCAGUGAUAAUGGUUAGAAGAGAGAAUAGCUAUUGCUAUGUGGUGACGAGAAACCCUAUUUUUUUUUUUGUUAGAAGAGACAAUAUGAUUUUGGUAGCGCUUCCAGACUUGAUAGGUGUCCGAGUAUAAGUAAGCUGUGUCGGAGUACAAGUUAGUCGUAUCCGACACGUAUCGGACAUUUUUUUUCCUUCAAAAAAUAAAUAUUAACUGCCCGAUGCUUUUCUGAUACGCGUAUCGGGACGUAUUCGACACGUAUUGGUCAUUGUUUUUCAAAAAAAUAAAUAUUAAUUGUCCGAUACUUUUCCGAUACGCGUAUCGAGGCGUAUCGGUAUCAGAUACAUGUCGGAUACGAUACUUCACCAUUUUUGGAGUAUCGGGGCUUCAGAGGCUAACAUAAAUUAUUCUAUUUGUAACUUAUGGUUUCUUUUUAUUAUUUGUAAGAGAAACUUAUAUGCUACAUAUGUUCCUCAUUUUAUCGUUAUUAUUUUUAUAUUUGUGUUUGCCACUUUUAAUUAAUUAGUUGUUCUCUGUUGGAAUUUAUU